rnacentral:rRNA from 1 species
GGUUAAGCGACUAAGCGUACACGGUGGAUGCCCUGGCAGUCAGAGGCGAUGAAGGGCGUGCUAAUCUGCGAUAAGCGCCGGUAAGGUGAUAUGAACCGUUAUAACCGGCGAUACCCGAAUGGGGAAACCCAGUGUGAUUCGUCACACUAUCAUUAACUGAAUCCAUAGGUUAAUGAGGCGAACCGGGGGAACUGAAACAUCUAAGUACCCCGAGGAAAAGAAAUCAACCGAGAUUCCCCCAGUAGCGGCGAGCGAACGGGGAGGAGCCCAGAGCCUGAAUCAGCAUGUGUGUUAGUGGAAGCGUCUGGAAAGGCGCGCGAUACAGGGUGACAGCCCCGUACACAAAAGCGCAUGUGCUGUGAGCUCGAUGAGUAGGGCGGGACACGUGGUAUCCUGUCUGAAUAUGGGGGGACCAUCCUCCAAGGCUAAAUACUCCUGACUGACCGAUAGUGAACCAGUACCGUGAGGGAAAGGCGAAAAGAACCCCGG